rnacentral:lncRNA from 1 species
GUUUUUUGUAUCCUGCCUAGCACUGGCUGAGGGAGCAGAAGGACUGUGUUGCACCGCACAUCCAAUGUCUUCUUGAGUUUCCUCUCUCUAAUUCUGAGAAAAUUACUGCUCUGAAGCUACUUCCAUACUGCAGAGCCAGGAUCGCACAGCAGCUGUGUUCAGGAUAUACUGGAGGCAAGACGUGCUGCAGCAUUGCAGCAGCUGGUACAGCCGGGGAAGGAACAGCCUGCUCCCAACAGGAUGCGCUUCUCUGACUGUUUGCGCAAAAGCCUUGGAUUCCUGAAAAGUGUGAUGGUCCUCCCCCAAGAAAAAAGUGUCGUUUGACCUUGUAAAUGACUCUUCCUGUAGAAUUCCUACAAAAGCUGCUUUCUAUUGCAGGAGUAAUUUGCAAGUUAAUGGGGAGAGAAUAAGGGUGUCUGUCAGGCUGUAAACACUGGCAGCCUGAGCAAGGAGCAUCCUUGGAUACCUCAGUGCCACCUUGUCUCUAUCUGAAGCUGAAAAGUGCACAUGGAUCUUUAUACCUUUCCCUUAGUAUGAUUUGUCUUGCCUUAAGAAAAGGAGAAAAAAAAAAAAGAAAAAAAAGUGUGUGUGUGUUCCACGAUUUCUUGUGCAAGGAAGACUCCUGUGUAUAUGAGUGUCAAUUUCCAGGCUCAGCUCCUGCUGUCCUUCGAAGCUAUGGAGGAGUUUGCUUUAUAAGGGGAAGAUGCAGCAAAUUUCUUAAAGAUGUUUGGAAUAUGAGGAUGUCAGCCAAGUCUCAGAGAACUUGUUGGGGGCUAGUGGCAGCCCUACCUGCAUUUUCUGAUAAGUUCUCUUUUAGAGGGAUUCCCUUUCUAGAGACCUAA